rnacentral:tRNA from 6 species
GGUAAGAUGACCGAGUGGUUAAGGUGGUGCACUCAAGAUGCACUCUCGCAAGAGGCCUGGGUUCGACUCCCAGUCUUACCA